GGGCCCGCACAAGCGGUGGAGCAUGUGGUUUAAUUCGAAGCAACGCGAAGAACCUUACCAGGUCUUGACAUCUAGCGCCAAUCCUAGAGAUAGGACGUUCCCUUCGGGGACGCUAAGACAGGUGGUGCAUGGUUGUCGUCAGCUCGUGUCGUGAGAUGUUGGGUUAAGUCCCGCAACGAGCGCAACCCUUAUUAUCAGUUGCCAGCAUUCAGUUGGGCACUCUGGUGAGACUGCCGGUGACAAACCGGAGGAAGGUGGGGAUGACGUCAAAUCAUCAUGCCCCUUAUGACCUGGGCUACACACGUGCUACAAUGGCUAGUACAACGAGUUGCGAGACCGCGAGGUCAAGCUAAUCUCUAAAAGCUAGUCUCAGUUCGGAUUGUAGGCUGCAACUCGCCUACAUGAAGUUGGAAUCGCUAGUAAUCGCGGAUCAGCACGCCGCGGUGAAUACG
rnacentral:rRNA from 1 species